GCGUCGGAAGCUCAAACGGAUGAGCGCCGGUCUUCUAAACCGAAGGAUGCGGGUUCGACCCCCGCCCGGCGCG
rnacentral:tRNA from 1 species